GUGGGGAAUAUUGGACAAUGGGCGCAAGCCUGAUCCAGCCAUGCCGCGUGAGUGAUGAAGGUCUUAGGAUUGUAAAGCUCUUUCACCGGUGAAGAUAAUGACGGUAACCGGAGAAGAAGCCCCGGCUAACUUCGUGCCAGCAGCCGCGGUAAUACGAAGGGGGCUAGCGUUGUUCGGAAUUACUGGGCGUAAAGCGCACGUAGGCGGAUAUUUAAGUCAGGGGUGAAAUCCCAGAGCUCAACGCUGGAACUGCCUUUGAUACUGGGUAUCUUGAGUAUGGAAGAGGUGAGUGGAAUUCCGAGUGUAGAGGUGAAAUUCGUAGAUAUUCGGAGGAACACCAGUGGCGAAGGCGGCUUACUGGUCCAUUACUGACGCUGAGGUGCGAAAGCGUGGGGAGCAAACAGGAUUAGAAACCCGUGUAGUCC
rnacentral:rRNA from 1 species